rnacentral:lncRNA from 8 species
AUGAUGAAUCAGACACCUUAUCGAUAUCAACAGCUCAUGGUCCUCCUGGAAUCAGAAGUUUUUUUUGACUCAAUGGAGGAACGUAGUCAGAGAAAUGCUGAUGAAUGGCUUGAUCGAGCCGUGUAUGCAACUGGUUCACCUCUGAUGCUCACAGGCAAUGUUUAUUGGAAGAGAUUUCUGAAUGUUCUUCAGCCAGCAUACACCCCUCCAACCAGACAUGCUUUAUCUAUUCAUUUGCUGGAUGCAGAGUUCAACAAAGUUCAAGUGAAGGUCCAGCAAAUCAUAGAGAAAGCAGACUGUAUUGCAAUCAUCUCUGAUGGGUGGUCGAAUGUUCGUGGACAAGGAAUAAUUAACUACAUCAUCUCCACCCCUCAACCAGUAUUCUACAAGAGCACAGACACAAGGGACAACAGACACACCGGUCUCUACAUUGCAGAUGAGCUGAAGACAGUCUUCAAUGACCUUGGACUACAGAAGGUAUUUGCACUGGUGACAGACAAUGCUGCGAACAUGAAGGCUGCUUGGUCUAAAGUGGAGGAGUCCUACUCUCACAUCACACCCAUUGGUUGUGCUGCUCAUGCAUUGAAUCUGCUCCUCAAGGACAUCAUGGGACUGAAAACAAUGGAUACACUCUACAAGAGAGCCAAUGAAAAGGUUAGGUAUGUUAAGGGUCAUCAAGUUAUAGCAGCAAUCAAUCUCACCAAGCAAAGUGAGAAGAAUAAGAGCACCACAUUGAAGCUGCCCAGCAACACUCAUCGGGGUGGUGUUGUCAUGUUUGACAGUCUCCUGGAGGGGAAGGAGUCUCUCCAGAAAAUGGCCAUAUCACAGUCUGCCGAUAUGGACAGUCCCAUCAAGAGGAUCCUCCUGGAUUAUGUAUUUUGGAAUAGAGUGGUAAGCAGCCUGAAACCUACAGCAGUAGCAAUUGCACAGAUUGAGGGAGACAAUGCCAUCCUGUCUGAUGUUCAGACUCUGCUUGCAGAUGUAAGAGAAGAAAUCCGUACUGCCCUGCCCACUUCACUGUUGCUCCAAGCAGAGGAAACUGCAGUUCUGAAAUACAUCAAAAAGCGUGAAGACUUCUGCCUGAAGCCCAUACACACCGCAGCGUACAUGUUGGACCCCAAGUAUGCUGGCAAGAGCAUCCUGUCUGGUGCAGAGAUCAACAAGGCCUAUGGUGUCAUCACUACCGUGUCUCGCCACCUUGGCCUGGAUGAGGGCAAGGUUCUUGGCAGUCUGGCGAAGUACACUUCCAAGCAAGGGCCAACAUAUCUCUUCAUCCACAUAGUGGAAGGGACUUUGUUGAUCUGA